UACGGAGGGUGCGAGCGUUGUCCGGAAUCAUUGGGCGUAAAGCGCACGUAGGUGGUUUGUUAAGUCGGGUGUGAAAGCCCUGGGCUCAACCCAGGAAGUGCACUCGAAACUGGCAGACUUGAGUACUGAAGAGGGUCGCGGAAUUCCCGGUGUAGAGGUGAAAUUCGUAGAUAUCGGGAGGAACACCAGUGGCGAAGGCGGCGACCUGGGCAGAUACUGACACUGAGGUGCGAAAGCGUGGGGAGCAAACAGG
rnacentral:rRNA from 1 species